AUCGCAACGAUUGCGACCCCAGGUCAGGCGGGGCUACCCGCUGAGUUU
rnacentral:rRNA from 9 species